rnacentral:lncRNA from 1 species
GUCAUGCCAUGCUUAAUAAAAAAAUAACUUUCACAUACUACGGGACAGAGUACUUCAGUAGAACCCUAAUCCCAACACUAACAUCUCGACUCUUUUAUUCCAACAGAACUGGCGCCUAGAGAGCAAAGCUCGACCAGGGUCCUUAACUCCAGUUCGGUCACUUAAUUAUCACUAUCAGUCUUAGCCUUUCGGCUCUCUUACUCCAAUAAGACUGGCGCCUAGAGAGCGAAGCUCGACCAGGAUCC